ACUUUGGUUUGGUUCUUUUGAAAAUGAAAUGACAAUGAUGGGCAUAGUAAGGGAUCGAGGAGUGAGGCUCAGGCACAUUCCAUAAUUCAAUCAAUUCUCUUUUCCCUCUUGGAGCCGUUACGUCCUAUUUCCACGGCAUACUUUUGUUCCCUCUAUCUUCUACAUUCACGACCACACCAUCCUACAUAAACACCCGUUCAUCUAUCUACACGUGUCGCCUUCUCAACAAGCGCUCCAUUUAAUAAA
rnacentral:misc_RNA from 1 species